CGAACGCUGGCGGCGUGGAUCAGGCAUGCAAGUCGUACGAUCUAUUGAGCAAUCAAUGGAGAGUGGCAGAAGGGUGAGUAACACGUGGGUAAUCUACCCUUGAAUUUGGGAUAACCCAUUGAAAGAUGGGCUAAUACCAAAUGAUAUUUCUGGAUCGCAUGAUUUAGAGAUCAAAGGUGGCUCGUGAGAGCUGUCGUUUAAGGAGGAGCCCGCGGCCUAUCAGCUAGUUGGUGAGGUAACGGCUCACCAAGGCUAUUGACGGGUAGCUAGUCUAAGAGGAUGGUUAGCCACAUUGGGACUGAGACACUGCCCAGACUCCUACGGGAGGCUGCAGUCGAGGAUCUUUAGCAAUGCCCGAAAGGGUGACUAUGCGACGCCGCGUGCAGGACGAAGGCCUUCGGGUUGUAAACUGCUGUCAGGAAGGAAGAAAGCUCACCAGUUAAUAGCCGGUGAGUUUGACAUCACUUCCAAAGGAAGCCACGGCUAACUCUGUGCCAGCAGCCGCGGUAAGACAGAGGUGGCAAGCGUUGUUCGGAUUUAUUGGGUGUAAAGGGCAGGUAGGUGGUCGUCUAAGUCCGAUGUGAAAUCCCACAGCUCAACUGUGGAACUGCAUUAGAAACUGGAUGACUUGAGUGCCGGAGAGGUGAGGGGAAUUCUCGGUGUAAGGGUGAAAUCUGUAGAUAUCGAGAGGAAUACCAGUGGCGAAGGCGCCUCGCUGGCCCGGUUUACUGACACUGAGCUGCGAAAGCAAGGGGAGCAAACAGGAUUAGAUACCCUGGUAGUCCUUGCCGUAAACGAUGUGGAUUAGGUGUUGGGGAUGUCGAUCUCUCCAGCGCCGGCGCUAACGCAUUAAAUCCACCACUGGGGAGUACGGUCGCAAGACUGAAACUCAAAGAAAUUGACGGGGACCCGCACAAGCGGUGGAGCAUGUGGUUCAAUUCGAGGCUACGCGAAGAACCUUACCCAGGCUUGACAUGCUUUUGACAGCCUACGAAAGUAGGUCUUCCCGAAAGGGACAGAAGCACAGGUGCUGCAUGGCUGUCGUCAGCUCGUGCUGUGAAGUGUUGGGUUAAGUCCCGCAACGAGCGCAACCUUUUCCUUUAGUUGCCAUCAGGUUAUGCUGGGCACUCUAGAGGGACUGCCGGUGAUAAACUGGAGGAAGGAGGAGAUGACGUCAAGUCAGUAUGGCCCUUACGCCUGGGGCUACACACGUGCUACAAUGGCCACAACAAAGGGAUGCCAACCCGUAAGGGGGAGCCAAUCCCACAAACCCGGCCUCAGUUCAGAUUGAGGGCUGCAACUCGCCCUCAUGAAGCUGGAAUCGCUAGUAAUCGCGGAUCAGCCACGCCGCGGUGAAUAUGUUCCCGAGCCU
rnacentral:rRNA from 1 species